AGUGAACGCUGGCGGUAGGCCUAACACAUGCAAGUCGAACGGCAGCACAGUAAGAGCUUGCUCUUACGGGUGGCGAGUGGCGGACGGGUGAGGAAUACAUCGGAAUCUACUUUUUCGUGGGGGAUAACGUAGGGAAACUUACGCUAAUACCGCAUACGACCUACGGGUGAAAGCAGGGGAUCUUCGGACCUUGCGCGAUUGAAUGAGCCGAUGUCGGAUUAGCUAGUUGGCGGGGUAAAGGCCCACCAAGGCGACGAUCCGUAGCUGGUCUGAGAGGAUGAUCAGCCACACUGGAACUGAGACAAGGUCCAGACUCCUACGGGAGGAAGCAGUGGGGAAUAUUGGACAAUGGGCGCAAGCCUGAUCCAGCCAUACCGCGUGGGUGAAGAAGGCCUUCGGGUUGUAAAGCCCUUUUGUUGGGAAAGAAAAGCAGCAGGUUAAUACCCCGCUGUUCUGACGGUACCCAAAGAAUAAGCACCGGCUAACUUCGUG
rnacentral:rRNA from 1 species